rnacentral:snRNA from 1 species
GGAUGUGCAGGUUAGCUGGCUGCGAUAUCUGCCACCCUACUGAUCACCAGGUUGGACUCAGCUGGUCCAGCUGGCCAGGUGGCUGUCCCUUUCCAUCCUCCCCAAUCCAUGCACAUCUCUCUUGAAGUUAGGCCCUCAGUCAAAGAGGACCAUCUCCUGGGUCCAGAAUUUAUAAGUAGCUGCACUCCCCUGCUAGAACCUUCAAACAAGCUCCCAAGUCAGUGCCUUGGGUGUCCCGAGAAUUCUGCAAACUUCAUUAAAUUUUAGUUAAAUUUCAGU